GUGCGUUAUCCAGAAAAUGUUUGAGCAGUUUCUUGUCAUUACUGUGUACUGCAAUGUGAAGUACAGUGUCCUUGGUGACAGUCAACGGAAGACCUGCAGCUUCAGGAUUUUUCUCGUAGUACCUUUUCAAGCUUUCCCAAUCUUUUUUCAUGGCAGCGCGAUAGGGCUUUGUUAUUGUUGCAAUACUUCCCAUCUCUUGAUUGCAACCUCGCACGCACACUCACAGGGAGUGACUUCAGUAGUUUAGCAGCAUGUAUAACCUUCAGAAGAUGACUGUUCUUUGCUUUAUAGACGUAAAGUGCAUCCUGAUUCCGAAUCAAUAGC
rnacentral:lncRNA from 1 species